rnacentral:lncRNA from 1 species
GCCAGCCAGCGGGGCCGCGCUGCCCCUCGGACAGAAAAGGGGAGCCGUGUGCGUGGCCCGAGCGAUUCCGCCCCCCGGCGCCCAGACACGGGCUCGUCUUUCCGCUGGGCGGGGGAGGGCGGGAGCCGCCGCUGCCCGGGGUGGGGGGAAGACAGCGGCUUCGGUGUAGAAAAAUUACAGUGCAAAAGAAUAACCACGAGCAGAAGGAGACUAUCAAAGAUGACAAAGGGAAAAAGAGAAACAACAAAUCAGCAUUUAGUGAGGAAGAUAAAGAAGGUAUGAUGAAACAAGCCCUGCUGGACCAGCAUCACCUUGGAAUGUAUAAGGAUCUCUACAGAAGGAGAAAUGCCAUGUAUGCCCAUUACCAAGACUUGCUCAAUAAGAAAGUUCAAAAGCAGAGAAUUCAGAUUCAAAUGUCUGAUUGUAGGCUCAAGCAAAAUCCUGAGCAGCAAAGAGGAA